rnacentral:lncRNA from 1 species
GUAAAAAACUCCUUCUGGGCAAUGCCUCCAGGGCACCAAUGACUCUUUAUAUCCUCAUCUCCUUCUGGAAGAACUCUGAAGCUGUGACAUGGUGACUCAGAAAAUGACUAACCAUAACACCAGUGAAACAACUAGGCAGAUUUGCUGCUGUACAAAGACUGAAGAGCUGCUGUCCAAGACUGAUCCCCUGGGCUUCUUCCCUCUCGCUUUGAGAAGUGAGAGUUAUCAUUACAACACAGCAGUCUGCUUCCAGGAAUUUUCCAGACUGGUUUGGCGAAGCCGUUAGGUUUAACAAAAAUUCUAGCCCUGCUUUGUGUGGCUCCAGGAGACUGAAGAUGAGGAUGGUGCUGCCGGCGCCGCGCUCCAUCGCUGCCCG